rnacentral:rRNA from 1 species
UACGAACGCUGGCGGCGUGCCUAACACAUGCAAGUCGAGCGGAGCCAAUCAAACAAUCCCUUCGGGGUGCGUUUGAGGAAGCUUAGCGGCGGACGGGUGAGUAACGCGUGAGUAACCUGCCCAUAAGAGAGGGAUAACACAGAGAAAUUUGUGCUAAUACCUCAUAUUGAGUUUUAAUCGCAUGGUUUCAACUUGAAAGAUUUAUCGCUUAUGGAUGGACUCGCGUCUGAUUAGCUAGUUGGUAAGGUAACGGCUUACCAAGGCGACGAUCAGUAGCCGAACUGAGAGGUUGAUCGGCCACAUUGGGACUGAGACACGGCCCAGACUCCUACGGGAGGCAGCAGUGGGGGAUAUUGCGCAAUGGGGGAAACCCUGACGCAGCAACGCCGCGUGAAGGAAGAAGGUUUUCGGAUUGUAAACUUCUGUUCUUAGGGAAGAAGACAGUGACGGUACCUAAGGAGCAAGCCACGGCUAACUACGUG